UUCUGGUGGGGCUGUCGGCCUGGCUCCGAAAGGGGUCUUGGUUAGUACACGCCUGGCCAUCCUCGGGGGAAGCUUUGCUGGCAUUAAGUUGUCGGCGGAGUGACGCUCGUCGUUUACUGUGAACAAAUUAGAGUGUUCAAAGCAGGCUUAGGCCGUUGAAUACAUUAGCAUGGAAUAAUGAGAUAGGACUUUGGUGGUCUAUUUUGUUGGUUUGCACGCCGAAGUAAUGAUUAAUAGGGGCGGUUGGGGGCAUUCGCAUUCAAUUGUCAGAGGUGAAAUUCUUGGAUUUAUGGAAGACAAACUACUGCGAAAGUAUUUACCAAGGAUGUUUGCAUUAAUCAA
rnacentral:rRNA from 1 species